rnacentral:rRNA from 1 species
CCUACGGGAGGCAGCAGUGGGGAAUUUUGGACAAUGGGCGCAAGCCUGAUCCAGCAAUGCCGCGUGAGUGAAGAAGGCCUUCGGGUUGUAAAGCUCUUUUGUCAGGGAAGAAACGGUGGGGGCUAAUAUCUCCUACUAAUGACGGUACCUGAAGAAUAAGCACCGGCUAACUACGUGCCAGCAGCCGCGGUAAUACGUAGGGUGCAAGCGUUAAUCGGAAUUACUGGGCGUAAAGCGUGCGCAGGCGGUUUUGUAAGUCUGUCGUGAAAGCCCCGGGCUCAACCUGGGAAUUGCGAUGGAGACUGCAAGGCUUGAAUCUGGCAGAGGGGGGUAGAAUUCCACGUGUAGCAGUGAAAUGCGUAGAGAUGUGGAGGAACACCGAUGGCGAAGGCAGCCCCCUGGGUCAAGAUUGACGCUCAUGCACGAAAGCGUGGGGAGCAAACAGGAUUAGAUACCCUGGUAGUCCACGCCCUAAACGAUGUCUACUAGUUGUCGGGUUUUAAUUAACUUGGUAACGCAGCUAACGCGUGAAGUAGACCGCCUGGGGAGUACGGUCGCAAGNUUAAAACUUCAAAGGAUUGACGGNUUGAGCGNGCGAGACGAGAGAGGAG